rnacentral:lncRNA from 1 species
UUGUUCGUCUGGUGCUAUUCUUCGUCAUCGAUGUUCAGUUCACGUCACAGUCGGGUCCUAGACAAAUUGAAAUGAAAAUUGGAAACCGGUGUUCAGUUCUCGUGGCUCGUGUCAUUCUUGAAGCUUUGUGUAUAGUUCAAAUGAUUAGAAAAGUAACAAAGAAACUUCUCUACAGUUCAAAAUUUCAAUGUUAGAUUAAUGCAAUUGCAUUUGUUUUCAUUAAGAAGUUCAAUUGUUACACACUGAUUUUUUGGUAGGUAAAACCCAUUUUUUCCCUCAUCUUGGAAAUCCCUUAACCGUAAGGCCUAAAAUAUUUUAUAGCCGCGAAAGUGGAAUAAUUUAUGACUUAGAGGUUAAUUGUUUCUCACUUCCACGUAUCUACUCUAUGACUGGUUUGGCUGCUUGUAAUAACCAAGGUUACUUUUGACAAUUUCAACAUUUUAUUUAAUUGCACAAUUUUUAACUGAAGAUGUAAUUCAGCUACUGCAGUGUAAUUAACUAAUUAUGCAAACAUUGCAAAUUUGCAAUCAAUUGACUUGGUCAUAAUCGAUCCAAUUUGUAAUCGAUUCACAAAAAAUCGGCCCGAUUAUAGUCAAUUAGUGUCUAUCGUCUAUCGCAGUUUACUGUUUAGCUUCAACCAGACAAGGACGAAGGAAUUUAUUUGGAACAACGUCUCUGCCAGUGGCCGCCAUGUGUGCACAUGACUAAGAAACUUAAUUUUGGUUAUUAUAGUUGCAUUUAAAAAAAAAAUGCUAAAGCGAUUAAUAUCACGUGAAUCAUUUGGACUAUUAUGUGGAAAACCUUGAUAUGAAUCAAUUCGUAUUGGAUAGUAUAAAGGGUCCUGUUGAGCUGGGAAAAGUUUCUUGGAAACUCGAAAUAAUAAACUAUCCUGGUCUCCCAAUAGCAAUUAAUGCUUGCUACAUUUUAAAAAUGUUUACUGAUCUUCCACCACCUAUGUUGCUUUCCAUGACAUGGGUACUUAAAGGAGUUGUACUUGGACCUAAAUCUGCUAGCAAAAAAGAUUAGAAAGAAAAUUUUCAAAGGAAUUUAAUGUGAGGAACUAAAAACUGCACUUUAUCUCACGGAAGGAAAAUGGAGGUCAGAGAAUGUGCAGAAUGAGUAUUGGUUAAUAUCACAUUUCUUUCCAACACCUACUUUGUUAUCUCUGGAGUAUGUUCAAUUACUGUUGUAUAAUUCCCAACAUAAAGGUAAGGUUUUAAAAUUUAUUUAUUAUGGUUUUUGAGAUAUUUUGUCUUUUGUGUUGAUGCUGGGUCUAGUUCAGUAUAGAAAUGUAGUAACCAGAGAGUAAACAGUAUGUGUUGAUGCAAUCACAGCUCAAACAUGCCAUGGGGAUUGGUCAGUUUGUGACCCAGAUACCAGUAUUUCUUCUGGCCAUCAUUUUCUGUUUAAAUUUGUGAAACUGGCAAUAUUUCCAAUUUACUGGCUACAGAAACUAACGUAUUUUCUAUUUUACCCUAGAAAGUUUUAUCCAUCAAGAAGCUGGAGCACUGCAGAAAUGAAGAAUUCUUCCUAACCCUGUGUGUACUUAUUCAAAGAAGGAUAAACACUUGUUACCUGCAACAAUGUUGAUAAUGAUGUCAUAAAACUUUGAAGUCUAGCAUUGUCAGUUGAUUUGUAGGUUGAAAUUCCGCAAAGGCUUUACACAUAUUCUACAGUUUAGUACUGACAGGUGACAUGUAAAGUUGAAUUUAUGUGUGGUGAUGACACAAACUUGUGGAGAUUUGCUGGCAAAAAGUCAAUCCCUUCAAUGGAAACAAUUUUAAAACUUUCUGCUAUCAGUGUGUUUUUGUUCCUCUUCCUCUCAAUGAACAACCAAACUUGAUGUUGCUCUUGUGAUGUAUCUGGAUUAUUGGGAUAACCUAACUUAAUGUUGCCUCGUGAUGGAUUUGGAUUAUUGGUAGGAAAAUGGAAAGCGUCACCAACUAUCUGAUCGCUCUCAUCUUCGUUUCGUGGAUCAUUCGUGUCUGUUAAGGAUUUCGGCAAAGAGCUGCUGGCGGAUAUCGCAACAAUUCUGAAACAUUCCACAUGAUUCCUCGACUGCAUCUGAUUGUCAGCGAUGUGGAUGAAAUCGUCAUUUCGCAAAACCAGCAAAGUGGGCCAAAGGUCAUCGGCUUUUCCGUUUAUCCUUUGCUUAAACUCACGGGUUCUGAUCUCAUCGAUCAAGCCUUUUUUUGUCAGAAGAUGAGUCAAUACCUCAAGUGAUAUUUUAUUGUUCCAAAAACUUUUGAAACGGGUAACGAAGGAUAUUUUACUCUACGCGUGUACAGCGCUCAGGCAAUU